UUAAGCGACUAAGCGUACACGGUGGAUGCCCUGGCAGUCAGAGGCGAUGAAGGACGUGCUAAUCUGCGAUAAGCGUCGGUGAGGUGAUAUGAACCGUUAUAACCGGCGAUUUCCGAAUGGGGAAACCCAGUGUGUUUCGACACACUAUCAUUAACUGAAUCCAUAGGUUAAUGAGGCGAACCGGGGGAACUGAAACAUCUAAGUACCCCGAGGAAAAGAAAUCAACCGAGAUUCCCCCAGUAGCGGCGAGCGAACGGGGAGGAGCCCAGAGCCUGAAUCAGUGUGUGUGUUAGUGGAAGCGUCUGGAAAGGCGUGCGAUACAGGGUGACAGCCCCGUACACAAAAAUGCACAUAUUGUGAGCUCGAUGAGUAGGGCGGGACACGUGGUAUCCUGUCUGAAUAUGGGGGGACCAUCCUCCAAGGCUAAAUACUCCUGACUGACCGAUAGUGAACCAGUACCGUGAGGGAAAGGCGAAAAGAACCCCGGCGAGGGGAGUGAAAAAGAACCUGAAACCGUGUACGUACAAGCAGUGGGAGCCUCUUAAUGGGGUGACUGCGUACCUUUUGUAUAAUGGGUCAGCGACUUAUAUUCUGUAGCAAGGUUAACCGAAUAGGGGAGCCGAAGGGAAACCGAGUCUUAACUGGGCGUUAAGUUGCAGGGUAUAGACCCGAAACCCGGUGAUCUAGCCAUGGGCAGGUUGAAGGUUGGGUAACACUAACUGGAGGACCGAACCGACUAAUGUUGAAAAAUUAGCGGAUGACUUGUGGCUGGGGGUGAAAGGCCAAUCAAACCGGGAGAUAGCUGGUUCUCCCCGAAAGCUAUUUAGGUAGCGCCUCGUGAAUUCAUCUCCGGGGGUAGAGCACUGUUUCGGCAAGGGGGUCAUCCCGACUUACCAACCCGAUGCAAACUGCGAAUACCGGAGAAUGUUAUCACGGGAGACACACGGCGGGUGCUAACGUCCGUCGUGAAGAGGGAAACAACCCAGACCGCCAGCUAAGGUCCCAAAGUCAUGGUUAAGUGGGAAACGAUGUGGGAAGGCCCAGACAGCCAGGAUGUUGGCUUAGAAGCAGCCAUCAUUUAAAGAAAGCGUAAUAGCUCACUGGUCGAGUCGGCCUGCGCGGAAGAUGUAACGGGGCUAAACCAUGCACCGAAGCUGCGGCAGCGACACUAUGUGUUGUUGGGUAGGGGAGCGUUCUGUAAGCCUGUGAAGGUGGCCUGUGAGGGUUGCUGGAGGUAUCAGAAGUGCGAAUGCUGACAUAAGUAACGAUAAAGCGGGUGAAAAGCCCGCUCGCCGGAAGACCAAGGGUUCCUGUCCAACGUUAAUCGGGGCAGGGUGAGUCGACCCCUAAGGCGAGGCCGAAAGGCGUAGUCGAUGGGAAACAGGUUAAUAUUCCUGUACUUGGUGUUACUGCGAAGGGGGGACGGAGAAGGCUAUGUUGGCCGGGCGACGGUUGUCCCGGUUUAAGCGUGUAGGCUGGUUUUCCAGGCAAAUCCGGAAAACCAAGGCUGAGGCGUGAUGACGAGGCACUACGGUGCUGAAGCGACAAAUGCCCUGCUUCCAGGAAAAGCCUCUAAGCAUCAGGUAACAUCAAAUCGUACCCCAAACCGACACAGGUGGUCAGGUAGAGAAUACCAAGGCGCUUGAGAGAACUCGGGUGAAGGAACUAGGCAAAAUGGUGCCGUAACUUCGGGAGAAGGCACGCUGAUAUGUAGGUGAAGCGACUUGCUCGUGGAGCUGAAAUCAGUCGAAGAUACCAGCUGGCUGCAACUGUUUAUUAAAAACACAGCACUGUGCAAACACGAAAGUGGACGUAUACGGUGUGACGCCUGCCCGGUGCCGGAAGGUUAAUUGAUGGGGUUAGCGGUAACGCGAAGCUCUUGAUCGAAGCCCCGGUAAACGGCGGCCGUAACUAUAACGGUCCUAAGGUAGCGAAAUUCCUUGUCGGGUAAGUUCCGACCUGCACGAAUGGCGUAAUGAUGGCCAGGCUGUCUCCACCCGAGACUCAGUGAAAUUGAACUCGCUGUGAAGAUGCAGUGUACCCGCGGCAAGACGGAAAGACCCCGUGAACCUUUACUAUAGCUUGACACUGAACAUUGAGCCUUGAUGUGUAGGAUAGGUGGGAGGCUUUGAAGUGUGGACGCCAGUCUGCAUGGAGCCGACCUUGAAAUACCACCCUUUAAUGUUUGAUGUUCUAACGUUGGCCCGUAAUCCGGGUUGCGGACAGUGUCUGGUGGGUAGUUUGACUGGGGCGGUCUCCUCCUAAAGAGUAACGGAGGAGCACGAAGGUUGGCUAAUCCUGGUCGGACAUCAGGAGGUUAGUGCAAUGGCAUAAGCCAGCUUGACUGCGAGCGUGACGGCGCGAGCAGGUGCGAAAGCAGGUCAUAGUGAUCCGGUGGUUCUGAAUGGAAGGGCCAUCGCUCAACGGAUAAAAGGUACUCCGGGGAUAACAGGCUGAUACCGCCCAAGAGUUCAUAUCGACGGCGGUGUUUGGCACCUCGAUGUCGGCUCAUCACAUCCUGGGGCUGAAGUAGGUCCCAAGGGU
rnacentral:rRNA from 1 species